rnacentral:lncRNA from 1 species
CAGCUUUAUUCAUAACAGCAAAAAAACUGAAAACAACUCAAAUGUCCAUCAACUGGUAAAUGAAUUAACAAACUGUGGUAUAACUAUACAAUGCAAAUACUACUGAAUAGAAGAUAAAACAGGAACUACCUACUAAUACAUGUAACAAUAUCAGUAUCUCAAAAGUAUUACAUUAAGUGAAAGAAGCUGGACACAAAAGACUGGUUAUUUGAAAUUCUAGAAAAGGCAAAACGAAAAGUGACAAAACGCAGAUCAAUGGGUUUCGAGGGGAUAGAAGUGGGGGUGAGGGAUUGACUACAAAGGGGUAAAAGGGAAAUUUUUAGGUGAUACAAAUGUUCUAUAUCAGCUGGGUGUGGUGGUUCACGCCUGUAAUCCCAGCACUUUGGGAGGCCGAGGCAGGUGGAUCAUGAGGUCAGGAGUUCGAGACCAGCCUGGCCAACAUGGUGAAACCCCAUCUCUACUAAAAAUACAAAAGUUAGCCGGGCAUGGCGGCGCGUGCCUGUAAUCCCAGCUACUCAGGAGGCUGAGGCCAGAGAAUUGCUUGAACCCGGGCAGACGAAGGUUGCAGUGAGCCGAGAUUGCGCCAUUGCAUUCCAGCCUGGGUGACAGUGCGAAACUCCAUCUCUGGGGAAAAAAAAGUUCUGUAUCAAGAUUGUGGUGGUGGUAAUUACACUACUAUAUGUUUG